rnacentral:rRNA from 1 species
UAGUUGGUGAGGUAACGGCUCACCAAGGCAACGAUCCGUAGCCGACCUGAGAGGGUGAUCGGCCACACUGGGACUGAGACACGGCCCAGACUGCUACGGGAGGCAGCAGUAGGGAAUCUUCCGCAAUGGACGAAAGUCUGACGGAGCAACGCCGCGUGAGUGAUGAAGGCUUUCGGGUCGUAAAACUUUGUUGUUAGGGAAGAACAAGUGCUAGUUGAAUAAGCUGGCACCUUGACGGUACCUAACCAGAAAGCCACGGCUAACUACGAGCCAGCAGAGCGGUAAUACGUAGGUUGGCAAGCGUAUCCGGAAUUAUUGGGCGUAAAGCGCGCGCAGGUGGUUUCUUAAGUCUGAUGUGAAAGCCCACGGCUCAACCGUGGAGGGUCAUUGGAAACUGGGAGACUUGAGUGCAGAAGAGGAAAGUGGAAUUCCAUGUGUAGCGGCGAAAUGCGUAGAGAUAUGGAGGAACACCAGUGGCGAAGGCGACUUUCUGGUCUGUAACUGACACUGAGGCGCGAAAGCGUGGGGAGCAAACAGGAUUAGAUACCCUGGUAGUCACGCCGUAAACGAUGAGUGCUAAGUG